AGUCUGAAUCUCUCAUGCGAUGUGGCCUUGGGUAAAUCACUUUCCUUCUCUCUCAGUUUCCUCACAUGUUAAAUGAGAAUAAUAACAGUUCCUGCUUCACAGGGUUGCCGGGAAAUUUCCAUGAGUCAGCCUAGCUUAGUACCCUGCACUUAGCUCAAUCAACAUUAACUAAUAUUAUUUUGAAACGGGGCUGCCUGAUAAACUGGUGAUAGGCAAACAUCCCCAAGGACAAUUACUAAUCUUUCACCAGUUUAAAGUGGAGGACUGCACAACCUUAGAGGUAGCUGGGAGGGUCCCAGGCCAAUUCCACCCCUAUCUACCUUUUUCAGGUAGGGGAAAGUGAAGCCCAGAGAUCUCAGGGACUGGCUUGUGGUCACAGACCAUGUGAGCCCAGGGAAGGGCCAAGCCUGGAGCCCAAACUCCACAUGCUCUCAGCAAGGAGCGGACUGGAGGAAAAGGUCCUUCAGUGCCAGUCAAGC
rnacentral:lncRNA from 1 species